rnacentral:tRNA from 1 species
GAGGGUACAGCUCAGUGGCAGAGUGCAUGCCUAAUAUGCAUGAGGUCCGGGGUUCGACCCCCAGUACCUCCA